ACGACCUUACUUGAACAGGAUCUGUUCUAUAGGCUCGUACCUCUGUAUUCUUGAUUCCUAAGAAGACAGAAACCCAUGUCUGGUUGAUGAGCCAGGACCAUGUAACCAGAGCGUGAUUAACAGA
rnacentral:sRNA from 1 species